rnacentral:rRNA from 1 species
UACGAAGGGGGCAAGCGUUGUUCGGAAUUACUGGGCGUAGAGGGCGCGUAGGCGGCUUAUCAAGUCAGGCGUGAAAUUCCCGGGCUCAACCUGGGGGCUGCGCUUGAUACUGAUUGGCUUGAAUGCGGGAGAGGAUAGUGGAAUUCCCAGUGUAGAGGUGAAAUUCGUAGAUAUUCGCAAGAACACCAGUGGCGAAGGCGGCUCACUGGCCCGAUACUGACGCUGAGGCACGAAAGCGUGGGGAGCAAACAGG